GAUGAAGAACGUAGCGAAAUGCGAUAAGUAAUGUGAAUUGCAGAAUUCAGUGAAUCAUCGAAUCUUUGAACGCACAUUGCGCCCCCUGGUAUUCCGGGGGGCAUGCCUGUUCGAGCGUCAUUACAACCCUCAGGCCCCCGGGCCUGGCGUUGGGGAUCGGCGGAGCCCCCCGUGGGCACACGCCGUCCCCCAAAUACAGUGGCGGUCCCGCCGCAGCUUCCAUCGCGUAGUAGCUAACACCUCGCGACUGGAGAGCGGCGCGGCCACGCCGUAAAACACCCAACUCUUCUGAAGUUGACCUCGAAUCAGGUAGGAAUACCCGCUGAACUUAAGCAUAUCAAUAAGCGGAGGA
rnacentral:misc_RNA from 1 species